rnacentral:misc_RNA from 1 species
AAGUCGUAACAAGGUAACCGUAGGUGAACCUGCGGUUGGAUCAUUAAUAAAUCUAGAAAGUCUUCAAGACUUCUCUAACAUCUUGUGAACUGUUCAUGUCUCUGGCAGGCUCUCGGGUCUGCCGAUUAAACUUUGUAUUCUAUUAAAAGCCUAUAAAUUUAAAAAAAGUAAUUAAAACAACUUUUGACAACGGAUCUCUAGGCUCUC